AAGUUUGCAGUGAGACUCAACCAUCAGUUACUAUAAUUUAGUUGGACACAUAUUUACACCAACAACUCAACACAGAAUGGUGUGGUUUAUUUUUUCAUUUUUUUAUGAAUGUUAGUGUGGCCCAUAAUAACAAUUCCUCUUUCAAAUGGGUUGGUGUUCAUUCUCAGUGUGAUGACGUCACAGAAGGUCAGGGGGAUUUAGUCUGAGGUCAUCUGAUGUCUUAGAUUCACCUGCCGCUGAUGCACCCAGGAGGCGCCGUUUCUUUACAACCAACAACAGUAAACCCUGGUGAAAAUGUACCCAAUUGCCCUAACACAGCAGGCACGGUUGAAUCCUUUCCAGACUCCUCUUUUUUCCAUGAAACCACAACAGCAACAAGAGAGCCAGCAGAUAAAA